rnacentral:rRNA from 1 species
UGGGGAAUAUUGGACAAUGGGGGAAACCCUGAUCCAGCAAUGCCGCGUGAGUGAAGAAGGCCUUAGGGUUGUAAAGCUCUUUCGCCCGCGAAGAUAAUGACGGUAGCGGGAGAAGAAGCCCCGGCUAACUCCGUGCCAGCAGCCGCGGUAAUACGGAGGGGGCUAGCGUUGUUCGGAAUUACUGGGCGUAAAGCGUACGUAGGCGGAUGCGCAAGUUGGGGGUGAAAUCCCGGGGCUUAACCUCGGAAUUGCCCUCAAAACUGCACGUCUUGAGACCGAGAGAAGUAAGGGGAAUUCCUAGUGUAGAGGUGAAAUUCGUAGAUAUUAGGAAGAACACCUGUGGCGAAGGCGCCUUACUGGCCCGGUACUGACGCUGAGGUACGAAAGCGUGGGGAGCAAACA